rnacentral:misc_RNA from 1 species
UCCGUUUUGUCAACGGCAGUCUCGCCAGAGUGCUCUUGCGUAGCAACUGACAAUAAGGGUUGCGCUCGUUGCGGGACUUAACCCAACAUCUCACGACACGAGCUGACGACAACCAUGCACCACCUGUCACCGAAUUCCUCCGAAGAGGCACUCCAACCAUUACGUCGGAUUCUCGGGAUGUCAUGACCUGGUAAGGUUCUUCGCGUUGCGUCGAAUUAAACCACAUACUCCACUGCUUGUGCGGGCUCCCGUCAAUUCCUUUGAGUUUCAACCUUGCGGCCGUACUCCCCAGGUGGAAUGCUUAUUGCGUUAACUCCGGCACGGAAGCUUGCGCCCCCACACCUAGCAUUCAUCGUUUACGGCGUGGACUAC